rnacentral:rRNA from 1 species
ACGCUCGACACCUACUGGAGGCAGCAGUGGGGAAUAUUGGGCAAUGGGCGCAAGCCUGACCCAGCAACGCCGCGUGAAGGAAGAAGGCCCUCGGGUUGUAAACUUCUUUUGACAGGGACGAAGAAAAUGACGGUACCUGUCGAAUAAGCCACGGCUAACUACGUGCCAACAGCCGCGGUAAUCUGAGCGGGCUGGCAAGGC